GUCUUUUAGUGAAUUAUUUAAGGUUUGGCCUGCUCCAUGAUAGAUUAAAUAGCCGCAGUAUUUUGACUGUGCAAAGGUAGCAUAAUCAUUAGUUUUUUAAUUGAAAGCUGGUAUGAAGGGUCGGAUGAGAAAGUAUCUGUCUCAUUUUAAUUUUAUUUGAAAUUUAUUUUUAAGUCAAAAAGCUUAAAUUUUAUAAAAAGACGAGAAGACCCUAUAGAGUUUAAUAAACUAAAAUUUAAUAUAAAGUGGAUUUUAUAUUGAUUAUUUUUUUAAUUUAUUUUGUUGGGGUGAUAUAAGAAUUUAAUUAACUUCUUUUUUUAUUUACAUUGAUUGAUGAAUAAUGGAUCCUGAUUUUUGGAUUAAAAGAACAAAUUACCUUAGGGAUAACAGCGUAAUUCUUUUGGAGAGCUCUUAUCAAUAAAAGGGAUUGCGACCUCGAUGUUGGAUUAAAAUUAAAUUUUGGUGCAGAGGCUAAAAUUUUGAGUCUGUUCGACUCUUAAAAUUUUACAUGAUCUGAGUUUAAACCGGCGUGAGCCAGGUUGGUUUCUAUCUUUUAUAGUUAAAAUAUUUUAGUACGAAAGGACCAGAUAUUUAAAUAAUAUUUUUUGUUAGAUUAAUAUUGUUAUUUUGGCAGAUUAGUGCGAUAGAUUUAGAAUCUUUAAAUGUAAUUUAUUACAAAUAACAAUUUAUUUUUUUGAUUUGCUUUUGUUAUUAAUUUCAAUAUUAGUUUUAAUUGUUUUUGUUUUAAUUGGUGUUGCUUUUUUGACAUUACUUGAACGGAAGGUUUU
rnacentral:rRNA from 1 species